rnacentral:rRNA from 1 species
GGGUUGUGAGGUUAAGCGACUAAGCGUACACGGUGGAUGCCCUGGCAGUCAGAGGCGAUGAAGGACGUGCUAAUCUGCGAUAAGCGUCGGUGAGGUGAUAUGAACCGUUAUAACCGGCGAUUUCCGAAUGGGGAAACCCAGUGUGUUUCGACACACUAUCAUUAACUGAAUCCAUAGGUUAAUGAGGCGAACCGGGGGAACUGAAACAUCUAAGUACCCCGAGGAAAAGAAAUCAACCGAGAUUCCCCCAGUAGCGGCGAGCGAACGGGGAGGAGCCCAGAGCCUGAAUCAGUGUGUGUGUUAGUGGAAGCGUCUGGAAAGGCGCGCGAUACAGGGUGACAGCCCCGUACACAAAAAUGCACAUGCUGUGAGCUCGAUGAGUAGGGCGGGACACGUGGUAUCCUGUCUGAAUAUGGGGGGACCAUCCUCCAAGGCUAAAUACUCCUGACUGACCGAUAGUGAACCAGUACCGUGAGGGAAAGGCGAAAAGAACCCCGGCGAGGGGAGUGAAAAAGAACCUGAAACCGUGUACGUACAAGCAGUGGGAGCCUCUUAAUGGGGUGACUGCGUACCUUUUGUAUAAUGGGUCAGCGACUUAUAUUCUGUAGCAAGGUUAACCGAAUAGGGGAGCCGAAGGGAAACCGAGUCUUAACUGGGCGUUAAGUUGCAGGGUAUAGACCCGAAACCCGGUGAUCUAGCCAUGGGCAGGUUGAAGGUUGGGUAACACUAACUGGAGGACCGAACCGACUAAUGUUGAAAAAUUAGCGGAUGACUUGUGGCUGGGGGUGAAAGGCCAAUCAAACCGGGAGAUAGCUGGUUCUCCCCGAAAGCUAUUUAGGUAGCGCCUCGUGAAUUCAUCUCCGGGGUAGAGCACUGUUUCGGCAAGGGGGUCAUCCCGACUUACCAACCCGAUGCAAACUGCGAAUACCGGAGAAUGUUAUCACGGGAGACACACGGCGGGUGCUAACGUCCGUCGUGAAGAGGGAAACAACCCAGACCGCCAGCUAAGGUCCCAAAGUCAUGGUUAAGUGGGAAACGAUGUGGGAAGGCCCAGACAGCCGGAUGUUGGCUUAGAAGCAGCCAUCAUUUAAAGAAAGCGUAAUAGCUCACUGGUCGAGUCGGCCUGCGCGGAAGAUGUAACGGGGCUAAACCAUGCACCGAAGCUGCGGCAGCGACACUAUGUGUUGUUGGGUAGGGGAGCGUUCUGUAAGCCUGUGAAGGUGUGCUGUGAGGCAUGCUGGAGGUAUCAGAAGUGCGAAUGCUGACAUAAGUAACGAUAAAGCGGGUGAAAAGCCCGCUCGCCGGAAGACCAAGGGUUCCUGUCCAACGUUAAUCGGGGCAGGGUGAGUCGACCCCUAAGGCGAGGCCGAAAGGCGUAGUCGAUGGGAAACAGGUUAAUAUUCCUGUACUUGGUGUUACUGCGAAGGGGGGACGGAGAAGGCUAUGUUGGCCGGGCGACGGUUGUCCCGGUUUAAGCGUGUAGGCUGGUUUUCCAGGCAAAUCCGGAAAACCAAGGCUGAGGCGUGAUGACGAGGCACUACGGUGCUGAAGCGACAAAUGCCCUGCUUCCAGGAAAAGCCUCUAAGCAUCAGGUAACAUCAAAUCGUACCCCAAACCGACACAGGUGGUCAGGUAGAGAAUACCAAGGCGCUUGAGAGAACUCGGGUGAAGGAACUAGGCAAAAUGGUGCCGUAACUUCGGGAGAAGGCACGCUGAUAUGUAGGUGAAGCGACUUGCUCGUGGAGCUGAAAUCAGUCGAAGAUACCAGCUGGCUGCAACUGUUUAUUAAAAACACAGCACUGUGCAAACACGAAAGUGGACGUAUACGGUGUGACGCCUGCCCGGUGCCGGAAGGUUAAUUGAUGGGGUUAGCGGUAACGCGAAGCUCUUGAUCGAAGCCCCGGUAAACGGCGGCCGUAACUAUAACGGUCCUAAGGUAGCGAAAUUCCUUGUCGGGUAAGUUCCGACCUGCACGAAUGGCGUAAUGAUGGCCAGGCUGUCUCCACCCGAGACUCAGUGAAAUUGAACUCGCUGUGAAGAUGCAGUGUACCCGCGGCAAGACGGAAAGACCCCGUGAACCUUUACUAUAGCUUGACACUGAACAUUGAGCCUUGAUGUGUAGGAUAGGUGGGAGGCUUUGAAGUGUGGACGCCAGUCUGCAUGGAGCCGACCUUGAAAUACCACCCUUUAAUGUUUGAUGUUCUAACGUUGGCCCGUAAUCCGGGUUGCGGACAGUGUCUGGUGGGUAGUUUGACUGGGGCGGUCUCCUCCUAAAGAGUAACGGAGGAGCACGAAGGUUGGCUAAUCCUGGUCGGACAUCAGGAGGUUAGUGCAAUGGCAUAAGCCAGCUUGACUGCGAGCGUGACGGCGCGAGCAGGUGCGAAAGCAGGUCAUAGUGAUCCGGUGGUUCUGAAUGGAAGGGCCAUCGCUCAACGGAUAAAAGGUACUCCGGGGAUAACAGGCUGAUACCGCCCAAGAGUUCAUAUCGACGGCGGUGUUUGGCACCUCGAUGUCGGCUCAUCACAUCCUGGGGCUGAAGUAGGUCCCAAGGGUAUGGCUGUUCGCCAUUUAAAGUGGUACGCGAGCUGGGUUUAGAACGUCGUGAGACAGUUCGGUCCCUAUCUGCCGUGGGCGCUGGAGAACUGAGGGGGGCUGCUCCUAGUACGAGAGGACCGGAGUGGACGCAUCACUGGUGUUCGGGUUGUCAUGCCAAUGGCACUGCCCGGUAGCUAAAUGCGGAAGAGAUAAGUGCUGAAAGCAUCUAAGCACGAAACUUGCCCCGAGAUGAGUUCUCCCUGAGACUUAGAGUCUCCUGAAGGAACGUUGAAGACGACGACGUUGAUAGGCCGGGUGUGUAAGCGCAGCGAUGCGUUGAGCUAACCGGUACUAAUGAACCGUGAGGCUUAACCUUACAACGCCGAAG